GACGAACGCUGGCGGCGUGCUUAACACAUGCAAGUCGAACGGAAAGGCCCUGCUUUUGUGGGGUGCUCGAGUGGCGAACGGGUGAGUAACACGUGAGUAACCUGCCCUUGACUUUGGGAUAACUUCAGGAAACUGGGGCUAAUACCGGAUAGGAGCUCCUGCUGCAUGGUGGGGGUUGGAAAGUUUCGGCGGUUGGGGAUGGACUCGCGGCUUAUCAGCUUGUUGGUGGGGUAGUGGCUUACCAAGGCUUUGACGGGUAGCCGGCCUGAGAGGGUGACCGGCAACAUUGGGACUGAGAUACGGCCCGGACUCCUACGGGAGGCAGCAGUGGGGAAUAUUGCACAAUGGGCGGAAGCCUGAUGCAGCAACGCCGCGUGCGGGAUGACGGCCUUCGGGUUGUAAACCGCUUUCGCCUGUGACGAAGCGUGAGUGACGGUAAGGGGUAAAGAAGCACCGGCUAACUACGUG
rnacentral:rRNA from 1 species